rnacentral:misc_RNA from 1 species
AAAGGAGGUUGUGAAAGGGCGAGAUCAAUUUCCUGAUUUGUUGUCAAAAACAAGAAUGGAAGGAAAGUGGCAAAGAAAUUUCACGACUUUCGUUUCUCCAAUGAUGAUGAAAUGGAAGCUCCAAUAUUCCAAUUUCUCUGUGCACAUUGUAUUGGGUACAGUUCUUUAUAAAUUUAAGUUCCCUUGGCUAAUGAAGAUACAGUGCUCCAUCCUCAAAGGUAAUUGUUGUCAUUGUUCCAUAUACUUGUCCAUGGUAUACUCCCUUGUAAGACCUCAACAAUCUGUUUCAUUGUUGGUCGAAAGCGUGCAGUUUUAUAUAUCGAUGCAGCAGCACAACAAAUCAUUCUUUUCAUUUCCUCCAAAUCAUACUCUUGCAAUCUGGUAUCAACAAGAUCAACAUAGACAUUAUUCUUCAAAGCUUGUCCUAUUCGAUUCUUAGCCCAAUUAAUAAUAUUUUCGCCAUAUUCUAUGACUUUUCUUCCAGUGAUCAAUUCCAAGAGUAUCA